AUGAACGCUAGCGACAGGCUUAACACAUGCAAGUCGAGGGGCAGCACAGGUAGCAAUACCGGGUGGCGACCGGCGCACGGGUGAGUAACGCGUAUGCAACUUGCCUAUCAGAGGGGGAUAACCCGGCGAAAGUCGGACUAAUACCGCAUGAAGCAGGGAUCCCGCAUGGGAAUAUUUGCUAAAGAUUCAUCGCUGAUAGAUAGGCAUGCGUUCCAUUAGGCAGUUGGCGGGGUAACGGCCCACCAAACCGACGAUGGAUAGGGGUUCUGAGAGGAAGGUCCCCCACAUUGGUACUGAGACACGGACCAAACUCCUACGGGAGGCAGCAGUGAGGAAUAUUGGUCAAUGGCCGAGAGGCUGAACCAGCCAAGUCGCGUGAGGGAUGAAGGUUCUAUGGAUCGUAAACCUCUUUUAUAAGGGAAUAAAGUGCGGGACGUGUCCCGUUUUGUAUGUACCUUAUGAAUAAGGAUCGGCUAACUCCGUGCCAGCAGCCGCGGUAAUACGGAGGAUCCGAGCGUUAUCCGGAUUUAUUGGGUUUAAAGGGUGCGUAGGCGGCCUUUUAAGUCAGCGGUGAAAGUCUGUGGCUCAACCAUAGAAUUGCCGUUGAAACUGGGGGACUUGAGUAUGUUUGAGGCAGGCGGAAUGCGUGGUGUAGCGGUGAAAUGCAUAGAUAUCACGCAGAACCCCGAUUGCGAAGGCAGCCUGCCAAGCCAUUACUGACGCUGAUGCACGAAAGCGUGGGGAUCAAACAGGAUUAGAUACCCUGGUAGUCCACGCAGUAAACGAUGAUCACUAGCUGUUUGCGAUACAGUGUAAGCGGCACAGCGAAAGCGUUAAGUGAUCCACCUGGGGAGUACGCCGGCAACGGUGAAACUCAAAGGAAUUGACGGGGGCCCGCACAAGCGGAGGAACAUGUGGUUUAAUUCGAUGAUACGCGAGGAACCUUACCCGGGUUUGAACGCAUUCGGACCGAGGUGGAAACACCUUUUCUAGCAAUAGCCGUUUGCGAGGUGCUGCAUGGUUGUCGUCAGCUCGUGCCGUGAGGUGUCGGCUUAAGUGCCAUAACGAGCGCAACCCUUGCCACUAGUUACUAACAGGUAAAGCUGAGGACUCUGGUGGGACUGCCAGCGUAAGCUGCGAGGAAGGCGGGGAUGACGUCAAAUCAGCACGGCCCUUACAUCCGGGGCGACACACGUGUUACAAUGGCGUGGACAAAGGGAGGCCACCUGGCGACAGGGAGCGAAUCCCCAAACCACGUCUCAGUUCGGAUCGGAGUCUGCAACCCGACUCCGUGAAGCUGGAUUCGCUAGUAAUCGCGCAUCAGCCAUGGCGCGGUGAAUACGUUCCCGGGCCUUGUACACACCGCCCGUCAAGCCAUGGGAGCCGGGGGUACCUGAAGUCCGUAACCGCGAGGAUCGGCCUAGGGUAAAACUGGUGACUGGGGCU
rnacentral:rRNA from 1 species